ACUACGGGUGGCAGCAGUGAGGAAUAUUGGUCAAUGGGCUUACGCCUGAACCAGCCAAGUCGCGUGAGGGAAGACUGCCCUAUGGGUUGUAAACCUCUUUUGUCAGGGAGCAACGCCGGCUACGUGUAGCCGGACUGAGAGUACCGGAAGAAAAAGCAUCGGCUAACUCCGUGCCAGCAGCCGCGGUAUUACGAGGGAUGCGAGCGUUAUCCGUAUUUAUUGGGUUUAAAGGAUGCGUAGGCGGAAGGUCAAGUCAGCGGUAAAAGUGCGGGGCUCAACCUCGCUACGCCGUUGAAACUGGCGUUCUUGAGUGGGCGAGAAGUACGCGGAAUGCGCGGUGUAGCGGUGAAAUGCAUAGAUAUCGCGCAGAACUCCGAUUGCGAAGGCAGCGUACCGGCGCCCAACUGACGCUGAAGCACGAAAGCGUGGGGAUCGAACAGGAUUAGAUACCCUGGUAGUC
rnacentral:rRNA from 1 species